rnacentral:lncRNA from 13 species
GUGGCUCGCUCAAUGGCAAUAUAUUCAAUCUCUGUGUUGUCCAGACGUCACCCAUGACAGUGUUUACUGUGGAGGAGCAAGUUAGCAGAAUUUCUUAAAACCAAACAGCAGUACGACUGCUCCAUUAUGAUUUUGAUUCUUUCUCAGCACUUGGUGAUUUCGUUUCUGAGCAGGAGAAAGGAAUUGGUGACAUAUUAUUGAGACUAUUUAAAAACCACAUCCAAACAUUACAUCAGAACUUAAAGAAUUCUUUCCGGAGUCAAAUUCAACCAAAGAAAAAGUACAGCUCUGCUUGCUCCCCCCCGACCUCCUCUCUCUUGGUGAAAUCCUGAGUCUUCUGGCUUUUGGAAGCUUUGUACCUGUUCGCCUAAUGUUCGAGAGAGGGGAGAGCAGCUUUCAGAAGGACACAGGGUAUCCAGGUGGAGGUGCCCAUGAGAUGCAUGGAGGUGCCCUGGAGAAGGUGGAGAGAGAGGAAGCUGGCACAGCCUGCAAAGAGGCCAGGGCCUCUGAAGCCCCACAGGAGAGUCUUAGACGAGGCACGGCCAACAGUGCCAAUGGCUAGAGAUGAAACAGGUGAGGCCCAUGAAGGGACACAUGUUCU